AUGGUCCAUGAGCGGCUUGGGGAAGUGCGGAAGCGCGGGGAUCCCCGGCACGUGCACGAGCUCCUCUCCCAUUUCCCGAAAGUUGGCGGCGCUCCGGGCAUGCAGGUCUGGGAGAUACAGGUUGGAGGCCAGCGCCUCGGCGGCGGACGUGAAGAAAUAGUACCCUGGGACGCCGAGCUCCGCGGCGACGUCGAGCACGAUGCUGCAGAAGAAGUCGACGAUGAGGACGGCCGAGGAGGCGCCGGCGAGGAAGCCACGGAGGUGUGGGAUGGAGAGGCCGGCGACCUCGUAGGUGAUCGCCUCGGGGAGGUCGGAGUCGAGCGGCGGGACCUUGACCUGCGGGAGGCAGUGGAAGGAGAUGGAGGGGUUGGCAGCGGGGGUCGCGUUCCUCAUGCAUGGUGGUGGUGUGUGUGGCGGCGGCAGAGUCCGUGUAUAGAGUGGUACACACGCCGUCGAAAACGUGGCCUUUGCUCCGGCCACGCCCGCCUACGCCGUCUUGCCUCGUCGGCUUUUAGCGGCAUCGAUGUGGUUGUUGAUGUAGCAUGCAUGUUUGGGCUUGGCUUGGACGUCGUCGAUGACUUCGUAGGUUUGCCAGAUGUGCGAGGGGUAUGCCUUGUGGGAGUAGAGGAGGAAGAGGAAUGGAUGGACGUGUGA
rnacentral:rRNA from 1 species